rnacentral:tRNA from 1 species
GGGAUCAUAGCUCAACUGGGAGAGCACAAGAAUGAAGAUCUUGGGGCGAGUGUUCAAGUCACUCUGAUCCCA